rnacentral:rRNA from 1 species
GAUGAACGCUGACAGAAUGCUUAACACAUGCAAGUCUACUUGAACUUCGGUUUGGGUGGCGGACGGGUGAGUCACGCGUAAAGAACUUGCCUCACAGAUAGGGACAACAUUUGGAAACGAAUGCUAAUACCUGAUAUUAUGAUUUUAGGGCAUCCUAGAAUUAUGAAAGCUAUAUGCACUGUGAGAGAGCUUUGCGUCCCAUUAGCUAGUUGGAGAGGUAACGGCUCACCAAGGCGAUGAUGGGUAGCCGGCCUGAGAGGGUGAUCGGCCACAAGGGGACUGAGACACGGCCCUUACUCCUACGGGAGGCAGCAGUGGGGAAUAUUGGACAAUGGACCAAGAGUCUGAUCCAGCAAUUCUGUGUGCACGAUGAAGUUUUUCGGAAUGUAAAGUGCUUUCAGUUGGGAAGAAAGAAAUGACGGUACCAACAGAAGAAGUGACGGCUAAAUACGUG